AAGUCGUAACAAGGUUUCCGUAGGUGAACCUGCGGAAGGAUCAUUAACACGUAUCCAACGUAAAAAACCCCCCUGUGAACAUUCAGACCUGCUCUCGUAGCCCAGUGCGAUCCAGCAAUCCCGGUAAAUCAUUGUUAAACAGUAUUGAUUCGGGACUUCUGACAAAUGAGAAGUUACAGUUACGAUUUUGAGCGGUGAAAGCUGCAUGGCAUCCCCAGCAGUCAGUGUCUGAAAGUGUCAUUGAUUGUCGAUGGAGAUCUCGCCUCAACGAUUGCUAGAGGUCGCUCACCGACCGGCAGACAUGCAACCGGGUCCCCAUGCCCCUUUAUAACCCCAUUAACUCUGUGAGUCUACGGGAAUCCAGUAGGCUAAAAAAACUCGAACAACUGUUAACAAUGGAUAUCUUGGUUCUC
rnacentral:misc_RNA from 1 species